GCCUCGGUAGCUCAAUUGGAUAGAGCAUCGGAUUUCGAUUCCGACGGUUACAGGUUCGACUCCUGUCCGGGGCACCA
rnacentral:tRNA from 1 species